GGGGGAGAUGGUAAACAAUUCCCAGAAAAGGAAGAAGGCUUCGCAGACAGAAACAAUCAGUGUCCACUUCUAGGGACGAGUGUUCACGUUACCAGCCAACCGCUCUGUACCAAGUGUCUGUUCUGCUCAAGAAACAAAGCAUCCAGAACCAAUUAUUACUAAUUUGAGUUGAGUAAAAUAUCAUUCUAACAAUAACAAAAGAACAACCCAAUUUAAAAAAUGGACAAAAGGCUUAAAGACAAUUCUCCAAAGAAUCUAUACAAAUGAAGACUGAACCGAUGAAAAUGUGUUCCACCUCACUAAUAAUGAGGCAGCAAAGACCGAUUCGCACCAAUUUGAACAGGUUUCAUUUAAGAGAAGGAGAAGAGAAGGAAGACGAGAAAGGACAAAGCAGGUAUAAGGGAAUAGAGAACUGAGAACUGGAUCCCUUGUGUGUUGCUGAUGAGACUGUAAGACAAUGCAGCUGCUGUAGGGAGCAGUUUGGCAGGUCUUCAAAGCCUUAAACAUAGAACUGCUAUAAGAUCCCUCCGUUUCACCUCUGGCUGUAUACUUAAGGGAACCAAAAGCCCAGACUCCAACAGUUAACCCAGCCUCACUGUCAAAUGAUGUUGACAUCUGAGUGCCCAUCAGUCGCUGUAGACAAGCACAGCAUGGUAAGGCCGUUGUACACAGCAAUACCAAUGGACUUUAAAGACAUCACGUGAAGAGAAAUAAGCCCGUUGCAAAUCGUGGACAAAUGACGUGUAGUUUGUAGAAGCUGUCUUGAAGAGUCAGAUUCCUAGAAAAUAGAAUGGUGGCCGCCAAGAGCUGGAGGCAGGGGAGAGUGUUGCGUUUGUAUUCAUUUUGUGUGAGUGCAUGUGUGUAUUUGGGUGCAAAUAAAAGCCAAG
rnacentral:lncRNA from 1 species